rnacentral:rRNA from 1 species
AGGCCCAGAGAGGGUGUAAGGCCCGUGGAGGCGAGUUGUCUAGUGCCCGGCACGUCCUUAGAGUCGGGUUGUUUGGGAAUGCAGCCCUAAGCGGGUGGUAAACUCCAUCCAAGGCUAAAUACUAGCACGAGUCCGAUAGCGAAGAAGUACCGCGAGGGAAAGUUGAAAAGAACUUUGAAGAGAGAGUUCAAGAGUACGUGAAACCGCUGAGAGGCAAACUGGUGGAGCUGAAAUGGCUUUGAGGAAUUCAGCCCUUCGCGAGAUUGAUGAUGUCGGUUGCUCACGACUCCUCCGGUGUUCUUUUUCGUGAUAGGUGCACUUUCCGCAGUCGGACCACGACCAGCGAGCUGUGUCUAAGAUUUUGGAAGGUAGCUUUUGCUUCGGCAGAAGUGUUAUAGCCCUCAUUUGGAGCGAGCGGAGCGUUGGAUAGAUGCCUGCCCGGGCUCGUACGUUGUUCUUUCUGCGGUGUUUCUGGCUUCACUGCCUCGGCAGGGGUGUUGGGGAACUGUGGCUCGAGUCGGCCUGUUGCGUUGGCGUCAGUCAGUGGUUUCGAAGUAGGCAGUCCACCUGACCCGUCUUGAAACACGGACCAAGGAGUCUAACAUGUGCGCGAGUCAUUGGGCUCUACGAAACCUAAAGGCGCAGUGAAAGUGAAGAUUCAUUUUGGUGGAUUGAGGUAGGAUCCUGGGUUAUGUGCUCAGGCGCACUACCGGCCCGUUCGACAUGUCGGGCGGAGCAAGAGCGUACACGUUGGGACCCGAAAGAUGGUGAACUAUGCUUGCGCAGGUCGAAGCCAGAGGAAACUCUGGUGGAGGACCGUAGCGAUUCUGACGUGCAAAUCGAUCGUCAAACGUGAGUAUAGGGGCGAAAGACUAAUCGAACCAUCUAGUAGCUGGUUCCCUCCGAAGUUUCCCUCAGGAUAGCUGGCACUCGGGAGAUGAAACAGUUUUAUCCGGUAAAGCGAAUGAUUAGAGGUAUUGGGACGAAACUGCUCUCAACCUAUUCUCAAACUUUAAAUGGGUAAGAUGC